AUACGGAGGGGACUAGCGUUGUUCGGAAUCACUGGGCGUAAAGCGCGCGCAGGCGGCUAUUUAAGUUGGAUGUGAAAGCCUAUGGCUCAACCAUAGAACUGCAUCCAAAACUAUUUAGCUAGAGUGUGGGAGAGGAAGAUGGAAUUAGUUGUGUAGGGGUAAAAUCCGUAGAGAUAACUAGGAAUACCAAAAGCGAAGGCAAUCUUCUGGAACACUACUGACGCUUAGGCGCGAAAGCGUGGGGAGCAAACAGGAUUAGAAACCCCAGUAGUCC
rnacentral:rRNA from 1 species